GUGCCAGCCGCUGCGGCGGUAAUACGGAGGGUGCAAGCGUUAAUCGGAAUUACUGGGCGUAAAGCGCACGCAGGCGGUCUGUCAAGUCGGAUGUGAAAUCCCCGGGCUCAACCUGGGAACUGCAUUCGAAACUGGCAGGCUGGAGUCUUGUAGAGGGGGGUAGAAUUCCAGGUGUAGCGGUGAAAUGCGUAGAGAUCUGGAGGAAUACCGGUGGCGAAGGCGGCCCCCUGGACAAAGACUGACGCUCAGGUGCGAAAGCGUGGGGAGCAAACAGGAUUAGAUACCCUGGUAGUCCACGCUGUAAACGAUGUCGACUUGGAGGUUGUUCCCUUGAGGAGUGGCUUCCGGAGCUAACGCGUUAAGUCGACCGCCUGGGGAGUACGGCCGCAAGGUUAAAACUCAAAUGAAUUGACGGGGGCCCGCACAAGCGGUGGAGCAUGUGGUUUAAUUCGAUGCAACGCGAAGAACCUUACCUACUCUUGACAUCCAGAGAACUUAGCAGAGA
rnacentral:rRNA from 1 species